GACGAACCGUCCAAACGUUAUUCGGAAUUAUUGGGCUUAAAGGGUGCGUAGGCGGCGCUGAAAGUUGGGUGUGAAAUCCCUCGGCUCAACCGAGGAAUAGCGCCCAAAACUGCAGUGCUUGAGAGAGAUAGGGGGGAGCGGAACUACGGGUGGAGCGGUGAAAUGCGUUGACAUCCGUAGGAACACCGGUGGCGAAAGCGGCUCACUGGAUCUCUACUGACGCUGAGGCACGAAAGCCAGGGGAGCGAACGGG
rnacentral:misc_RNA from 1 species